AAAAUAUUAGCCUUCUCUACUCCAAGGCAAAAGUUGGCAACUCUGACACUAAACUAAUACUACAAACACACGCCCCCAUCGCCUCUUCGCUACACCCUGAUCUCGGACGAUCCGGAAAAGACGAUAUGGCGGAAUCUGGACAAUCAGAAGGCCGGAUGGCAGGGCCACCCCGGUGAAGGAGCUCCUGUCUGAUUGGGGUGACUGGGAGACUAACGGACCCCGUGCUGAGUGAGGAGCGGCCGGUCCCUCGCCGAAUUCCGAGAUGACAACAAGGCCAAAUCAGAGCUGCGAAACCCGUGAAUCUGUUCCACGCGGGUCACGCUGUGAACGUUAACCCGCUCUGCGCUCUCUGACUCAGGGCACGUUUUUUUUUUAGAAAAGGUCGGAGAUUAUUAUGAUUAUACAACGGAACGCUCAGCCCACAGGAUAUAAAAUAAGCUCGCUACUAUAGGAAAUGCUAGGCUAUUAUGUGAUUUAGCAUGCUAGCGUUAAACGUCUGUAUUAUACUUUUCCUCAGGAGUAGCUUAUUAGGUGAGUUCGCAUGUAAUUUAGUGGUAAAGAACACCUCGGGCGCAAUUUUAACCCGCAUAAAUGACUGGGAUGUGACGUGGAGUGGAAGCGAUUACAGGCAUUUUCAGUGCACUUCUGUUUAG
ensembl:lncRNA